UUGAACCCCAUAAGAGGUCCAGCCUGCCCAGUGACCCUGUUCAACGGCCGCGGUAUCCUAACCGUGCGAAGGUAGCGUAAUCACUUGUUCUUUAAAUGUGGACUAGUAUGAAUGGCAUCACGAAGGUUAUACUGUCUCCUUUUUCUAAUCAGUGAAACUAAUCUCCCCGUGAAGAAGCGAGGAUAAAAAUAUAAGACGAGAAGACCCUAUGGAGCUUUAAACAAAGUAGCACUCGCCACAUAAAUGAAAAAUUCCAGAAUCACCAUCUUCCUCAGGCAAUCUGACUACACGUUUUUGGUUGGGGUGACCGCGGAGUAUAACACAACCUCCAUGUUGAAAGAAAGCUUUCUAAACUAAGAGCUACACCUCUAAGUAUCAAAAGAUUGACAUCCAUUGACCCAAUAAAUUUGAACAACGAACCAAGUUACCCUAGGGAUAACAGCGCAAUCCACUUCAAGAGCUCCUAUCGACAAGUGGGUUUACGACCUCGAUGUUGGAUCAGGGUCUCCCAGUGGUGCAGCCGCUACUAAAGGUUCGUUUGUUCAACGAUUAAAACCCUACGUGAUCUGAGUCAGAC
rnacentral:rRNA from 1 species